AAACAUUUAGUUGUGUCUUGUGAGAGUCAAAAGUUGGUUUUAGCGAUAUUAUGCUUGUUUUACAUUGUUUUGCAGGGUUUUUAGAUGAAUUAAAGAUGAAAGUGAAGUAAGGUGGACUUAGACCCAUGAAAGAAGGAGAAAAAUGAUGAAAAGAAGGGCCAAGAUAGCCGCUGAGAGCCAGAAUGGACUGCUGAGUGCUCAGAGCGAUUAGAGGGAAACCACUUAGCAGCAAAACUGACCGCUGAGCGGUCAAAGCGGUAAGAGGCAAACCGCUGAGCGGUGAAUUUAGGCGCCUG
rnacentral:lncRNA from 1 species